rnacentral:lncRNA from 1 species
ACCAAAUUUCAUAUUUUCCGGAUAGACAUGACACGUUGCUAGACGUCAAUCUUGUUUUAUAGGUUUGAUCAAAUUAAAGAGUUUAAUUCGAUCACCAAUUAGAAAGGAUUCUAAUUGUUAAGUUCGGGUUCGCGCAGUUUGGACUUAAAUCGAUUAGAAGAGUUCUAAUCAAGUUGGGUCAACUCGCACUCACACCUAUUGCUGGCUAAGUAUGGAACCAAAUGGGUCACACACAAGGAAAC